AGGAAAAUCAUUAGAUAAAUAGGAAGGGGGAGUUGUGUGGAAAGCCGGCAGAUGUGUGUUACGAGUCUGGAGAAGGUCUUGGAGAGCAGCGGCUAGGAGAUGUGCCAGCCGCUGAGAGUUGGAGCUGGAGGAGAAGAAGAUGUGUAAUGUGUUGGUUUUUUUCCUAGAGGAAAGCUCAGGCUAAGAGCAAACAGGGCUGCUUCCCAGCUUUGCUGCUGAGCAGCAGGUGUGAGGAAGUUAACAUUGUGAAUAAAAACAGUUGUCACAAUUCAAGAAUCUUCCACUUAGUUUCUUCCAAGGAUUCCUGACCAGACCAGAUCAUUGGCACAAUCAGGAUGGAUGUUUCUCUGAUGUAUCCUCCUGCAUUUGGGGUCAGAGAAUAAUGCGUCAUGAGGGAUAUACCCUGACACCUAGCAAAAGUAGUCCAGAUCUUUCUGUACAAGUAAGCCUUCAUUCAGAUCUCCUGCAGUGGUUGCACUAACCAACAGUGUACCCACUGAACACAGCAGCAGGGACGCCCCUCAGGGUUACUCCUCGAGGCUGAGAGAUUCCUUACCCAGCAUCUGGUAUCUGUAACAAGUUAAGUCCACAGUGAUGACUUCUCUUAGUAAUUCAGCUGUGAUGGCUGCAUAAGAGCGGCUUGACUUUGUCACGGGUUGGGACCCCCAAGGUGGGAAGGUUGGGAGCUUGUGAUUCCUGGCAGCAGGAUCCUUUUGAUCAUGCAGAUGUGACCAGAGGGCACUCGGGAGCAACACCCUGAGAACAGGGGGUCUGCUGCUUGCCAAGGCCUUAGAUCUGGGAUGCUUUUGUCCAGCCCUUGGACCAUCACCCCCUGUCAUCCAUGUGUGCACCAGUGACACUGCCAAAGGAGCACCUCCUGCAUGACCACAUCACUCUGGAGCCUAGGAUGAAGGGCAUGGGCACACAGGAAGUAAGCUGUAGAGCUACAAUGAAGCAAAAAAGAAAACUAAUUAAAUGCUAGUGGUAUGGAAAGAAAUUCAGAAAACAGAAGUCAAUGACACAGAAGAUCCAGCUAAGCUCAGAAAGGCUCCUGCUUGACACUCUGCUGUGAGAUGGCAUACCAUUGGAUUUUUCACCUCACCAACAAGUAAACAAAACUUCAUAUAGAAAAAGAAAUUUAGCAAGCUGAUCUGGCAUUUGGGAAGCUAAUGGCUCCCACUCCUGUUCUGCAAGUGGAGGAGAGUGUUUGGAGCUCUUCAAUAAACCAGGAAACCCGAUGGCCAGGAGAGCCCACUUUUUCAAGAAGCUCCUUCUACCUGUUUUAGGCUGCCACAUUUGGUCCCACUGCUGCAGUAUGAGCCCCAGUCAACAGAAGGACUACCAGUCUUGACUGUCUUUGCUGUCAAACCUGCCUCACAGGGCCACAGAGGCUGGUAGGCACCCAUGGGGUCAUCUAUCCCACCCACUGCUCAAAGUAGAGUCACCUAGAGCAGGUGACUUAGGGCUGUGUCCACUUGGGUUUUGAGUAUUUUCAAGGAUAGAGUCCAUAACCUCUCUGGACAGCUUGUUCUAGUCUUUGACCACCCUUACAGUAAAACAAAGCUUUUUCUUGGAUGUAAAUGGAAUUUUCUUUAUUUCAAUUUGUGCCCAUUGCCCCUCAUCUUUUCACUAGCCACCGUGUGGGUCCACCUGCUUUCCACCCUCUACUUAUAUAUCCUCCCUGUGCCUGGUUCUGACCUGAUUGAUUAUUGUAAUUUUUUUGCAGCUUGCUUACAAAUAAAUUGCUUCAUGAAGGA